CGUAACACGUAAGCAGCCUGCCCCCAAGACCGGGACAACAGCUCGAAAGGGCUGCUAAUACCGGAUGUGACCACAAGAUCGCAUGGUGUUGUGAUUAAAUCAUCGAAAGGUGGCUUGGGGAGGGGCUUGCGGCCUAUCAGCUAGUUGGUGGGGUAACGGCCUACCAAGGCGACGACGGGUAGCUGGUCUGAGAGGACGGCCAGCCGGACUGGGACUGAGAGACGGCCCAG
rnacentral:rRNA from 1 species